rnacentral:rRNA from 1 species
CUACGGGAGGCAGCAGUGGGGAAUAUUGCACAAUGGGCGCAAGCCUGAUGCAGCCAUGCCGCGUGUAUGAAGAAGGCCUUCGGGUUGUAAAGUACUUUCAGCGGGGAGGAAGGGAGAAAAGUUAAUACCUUUGCUCAUUGACGUUACCCGCAGAAGAAGCACCGGCUAACUCCGUGCCAGCAGCCGCGGUAAUACGGAGGGUGCAAGCGUUAAUCGGAAUUACUGGGCGUAAAGCGCCCGCAGGCGGUUUGUUAAGUCAGGUGUGAAAUCCCCGGGCUCAACCUGGGAACUGCAUCUGAUACUGGCAAGCUUGAGUCUCGUAGAGGGGGGUAGAAUUCCAGGUGUAGCGGUGAAAUGCGUAGAGAUCUGGAGGAAUACCGGUGGCGAAGGCGGCCCCCUGGACGAAGACUGACGCUCAGGUGCGAAAGCGUGGGGAGCAAACAGGAUUAGAUACCCUCGUAGUC